rnacentral:tRNA from 1 species
AGAGAGGUGCAAGAGUGGUUGAAUUGGCUCGCCUGGAAAGCGGGUAUGUCGCAAGGCAUCGAGGGUUCGAAUCCCUUCCUCUCUG